ensembl:lncRNA
AGGAUGAGAUAAAGAGAAAUAUGGGAUCCACACCCUGCUCAGAACAUGAAGCCCCAUAACUCCGGAAUGCCUGGCAGGAGUGACUUUUCUGAGAAUGGAGCCUGGGACAGCCACCCAACGUGCUGAGUGGAGGUGGCUAAGGACAUUUCCAGCCCAGCAGUCGUCAUGGUUUAUGUGUUGUUGACCUCCGCUUUGGAGUCGAUUGACGUCACCUCCUAGUUCUGCCCCUAGGUUCUGUAAAACCAUCACUGAACCUUCCAGCCCCUUCCCUGGAGACAGAGUAGGUUCUGGAAACCUUCGGGUACCUGUGAUUCCAGGGCAGCAGGCAGUGUACUGGAGGGCGAUCGGGGCUGUGUUGCCCACACCUGAGGCCCAGACUCCACACACACUGCACCAUUUCUCUCCCAUAGUCAACCAUUCUUGCGGUUGCUUCCCUGUGGGGGACUCAGCCCAGUGCUAAGUCCCUCCUUUUUCAUUCUGCCUAAGCCCCUUCCUUCCAGCUCUGCCUUUUCUCCAUCAGCCCCUCAACUCAUCCUUGAUCCCCUCCUCCCGCUCAGCACCUGGGGCUGGGACAGCUCCCCAGGGACGCCGAUAGUCUCAGAGCAUCUGCCCAGCGCCUGAACUGGUAUGAACUGGAGAGUGUGGGUCAGCCUGACAGUUGCUCCUGCCAGGCCUGUGACCUCUAGAAUCCAUCCCUUCUCUCUCCACUCAUGCUCUGAGCCAGGACUGCCACAUCUCCUGGAUGCUCACUGGGCUAGGACAAGCCACCCAGUAUUUCAUGCCCCAUGUCUUUGCUCACUCUAUUCCCUUUGCCAAAAACAUCUUUUCUGGUGAAUCCCUUUUCUGCUUCAAGGCUCAACUCGAAUGCCACUGUGCAAGUAAAGCCCUCUCAAUCUACCUUAGGCUACUCUGUUGCCCAUUGAACUUUUUCUUAUCAUUAUCAUAGCAGUUAUGUCUCUGUUUUCAUGUCUGCCUCCCUACUGGAGGGUGUCUUUUCUGGAAUGGACUGGGUCAUAUUGAUCUGUGGAUCUCCAGAACUUGGUUCCGUGUAGCUCAUUGAGUAUUUGUUGUUGCUGUUGGCCCUCACCUAGAGUAGAUCCUUGGUCUGGGAUGUGAGUUGGAGAAGGUCUCAGACUCCCCAGAGACAAUGGUCUACCUGCAUGGCAAUGAGUACCGGUGGUGUGUGUCAUGCCUCCUCUUCCUUGCCAGGCCACGACCCCAUCCUACUGCAGGUCCUGUAGUGCCAGGCUGGUUGCAAGACACGGUACUCCUCACCUCUGACAAAACCACAGCUUGGCCCAUUGGUACCCCGUGGGAUGGAGCAGCCACAUCUGGCUAACAUCUGGAUGCUUUCUCCCCAGCUCUGGGCAGCUGUCUCCUGUAGUUUUUCCCUCCUCCUAUGGCUUUACCGACUCCUCCUGCUGCUCUAAGAGAGCCCUAGAGAGUGGGCUCAGAGUGGAAAGAGAGGGCAGGGGGCAUCUCCCUGUCUUCCUCCCUCUCCUUCCUCCUGGCUGGCUGCAGCUGUGCUGCGUGAUGUGGAACUGAACACAAUCUUAAUUAGUGCUCAGCCCUGCUCAUUAUUGCCUCUGGAAACCAGAGAAGCUCCAAGUUAGGAAGUCUUGAUCUCAGUGGAGGCCAGGGCCCCAGAUGUCCUAGUCCUGCUUCUUGUGGAUUGGGUCUGUACGACCUGGGAUCCCUUUUUGGGCCUUUAAAGGGAGAUGCCCCUCCCUGGAAUGAGGAAAGGGCUGGAGCUGGAGGGAGGAGAGGGAAGCCUAGGCCCCUCAUGGACUCUCACUCUGUGCAGAGCAUCUCCAGGACAGCGUGUCGUGGAACAUGUGAAACUCCACUGCAAUCAGAGAAAGAUGAACGAAUGAUUAAAUAAAGCAAAUGUGCUCAAAUCCAGCACACUGGUGACUUGCCUGCCUUUAGAGGGACUAAAGCAAGAGGACUGAUGCAUUGUUCAGCAUUCUUUUUUUUUUCUUUCGGUGAAAUGGAAUAAAGAACUGUGAAGUGCCUGAAUACUAAACAAAAGGAAGCUGAGCGAAGGAGGAGAAGAGGGGCGGACCUGGAAAUUAUAACCCAUAGGCCUGGUUCCAAUAUCUGGGAAAACUCCUUCACAAAUAUCAACUUGUAAACAGCCUAGAAGAUCAAAUGAGACAAUACACAUGAAAGCCCUUGAACUGUGAAGGGCUUUAUAAAUUUAAGGUGUUAUUAUUGUAAUGUUUCUGCUCAGUGCAGACUAUCAAACAGAUGCUAUUGGGAGGCUGUAGAUUUAUGAUAGUGGCUCGUCACCCACAAGGUACUCACAGAAUUUAGGCUGUUUCAUUUAAUUAGUCAUUGCCUGUCACAGAAGCUACUGCAGAAGCCUUCUAAGUGGACUCCUCACCUCCACCUUUCCGUUUGUUCUGUUUAUCUUCUGUGCCACCGCCCGCUUAAUUUCCCUGAUGCAGAGCUCUGAUCAAAUACUUCAGUGUUCCUCUGGCUGACCGCACAGAGCCUGGAGACUUCGGGUUAGCAGUCAAGAUCCUCCAUAAUGUGGUCCCACACGACUUUCCCAGUCUGCUUUCCCUCCUUCCAUCCUGGGGGACAUAGGCUCAGGAAGACCAAGUCACUUAUCCAAGCGCACACAGAUACCAAGCGGCAUAUCCCCAAAUCAAGCCUUCAAACCCCAGACACCAGACUCCAAAACCAACUCUCUUUCUAGCCCGCCACUUCUUCACUUCGACGCAGCCACAUGCAGUGAAGAUUUUCCCACAUAGAGCUUUUUCUCUUCUUUGGAAAAAUUUUCUCAGGACAGAUUCCCAGGAGUGGGAUUGCCAGAUCAAAAGAUAUUAAUAUUUUUAUGGCUGCAUGCACUGACACAUGCUUUGCAAAAAG